AUUGAACGCUGGCGGCAGGCCUAACACAUGCAAGUCGAGCGGAUGAAGGGAGCUUGCUCCUGGAUUCAGCGGCGGACGGGUGAGUAAUGCCUAGGGAUCUGCCUGGUAGUGGGGGAUAACGUCCGGAAACGGGCGCUAAUACCGCAUACGUCCUGAGGGAGAAAGUGGGGGAUCUUCGGACCUCACGCUAUCAGAUGAGCCUAGGUCGGAUUAGCUAGUUGGUGGGGUAAAGGCCUACCAAGGCGACGAUCCGUAACUGGUCUGAGAGGAUGAUCAGUCACACUGGAACUGAGACACGGUCCAGACUCCUACGGGAGGCAGCAGUGGGGAAUAUUGGACAAUGGGCGAAAGCCUGAUCCAGCCAUGCCGCGUGUGUGAAGAAGGUCUUCGGAUUGUAAAGCACUUUAAGUUGGGAGGAAGGGCAGUAAGCUAAUACCUUGCUGUUUUGACGUUACCAACAGAAUAAGCACCGGCUAACUUCGUG
rnacentral:rRNA from 1 species